rnacentral:lncRNA from 1 species
AGGGCUCUGAGCACCAGCACACUGGCCUUCCCCGGGGGUCGCUGGGUGGAUAAGCCGGGUAGCUGCCCCAGAGCAGAGUGCCCACGCCCCCUCCCACUGACCUGGAGGCCCAUCCCCAGUCCCUUGGGUGGUGAGAGGAGAGAGGCCUCUCACGGGAUGUGCAGAGGUGGAGUUGAUCUCUAGGCAUGGAAGGAAACAAAACUUUGGCUUCCUGGGGAUUUCUGACCUGCCCAUCAGGAUGCUGCUUGAGAAAGCUAGGGGCCCGAGGUGCCCACUACUCACCUGCCGCUACCUCGAGAGACACAGGGCAUAAUAGUUACAGUUUACACCUUUUUAUUGCUGAGUGGGAUCCCAUUGUAUGAAAUAGGACAAUUUGGCCACGUGUUGAUGGACAUUUUGCUGUUUCCGGGAUUGGACUGCUAUGUCUCUUGGGGACUGCAGGGCUCCCAGGCCACAGGAGGACAACAAGUCCAGAGCCCAUGUCAUCAGACUUUCUCAAGUCACAGGCCAAAUUGGAGAGGCCACAUGCCCGAAGCCACCCAGAGGGGUCAAGCAAAGCCAGGACUCCAGGCAGCAAAUCUUCCUUAUGUCCUUCCUGCAUGUGAGGCCCUGAGCAGAGUGCCAGGGAUGAGGAGGAACAGACAGAGCAGCAGCUGCCCUCACCGCCCAGUGGCAGAUGUGAGCAAGUUAUCAACUCUAGCACAACAGGAGAGCCCUUACCUGCAGCUGGGGAGACCGGGGACCUCCUGGCUGAAGUGACCUUUAAGCCAAGGCCUCAAAGCUGAAGAGGAAUGUGUUUUCCCAAGAUAAAUGCAAAGGCUGAGGAUCAAGAAAAAAACAGGUGUGAGUUUGGGUAUGUUGUGGUCUCAGUUUCCUCAUCUCUUGAAUGGACUUCCUGCUC